rnacentral:lncRNA from 1 species
UGUACAACUUGCAGCAUUUUCUCUGGUUUUGCACUCACACUAGAGCACUGCAGCCCAGAGGGCUUGCCAGUGACAUUAACUCAUAGUCCUCCCCCCUGCCGCCCAGCCACAACACCCCAGCCUGGAGCUGUCUGUGAGGUGCCAAGGCACGGGCAGGGCUGGAGAGCCAGGUUCUCUCCCAUUCACUUAGAGGACAAGUUUACAUUGUACCUUGUGAAUGAUUUUUCUCUGUCUCGCUUUUUCUUUUCUUUUUUUUUUCCUUGUUGGUUACCCUGAUUGUACCUCUGCAUCCCCCUCCCCCUCCACGUGAUGGGCCCGACAUGCGCAGCAGCGCCAGGGGAGCCAGAGGCACAUCUGCAGACUGACGUCAGUGUGCGCUCAGCCUCCCAGGCAAAGCUGCCAAAACUUCCCUCUGCUGCUGGAGCUCUAAACUUGGCUGCAGGCCGGCAGUGAGAAGAGACCUAGAGCUACUUCAACAAAACUUUCUUGAGUCCUCCCUGCCUGCUUUCUCUAUCUCCCUUUCUCUCUCUCACCCUCCAACUCUGAUGAGAUUCACAUGGUACUUUGCCCAGAAGAAGGUGGCCAAGAAGAGGGUACUCACCCCCACCCCAAAAUAAGUCUGUUUUCCUUCCUCCACCCCCCUCCCUUUUUUAACUUUUUCGGUUGGAAAGACAAAAUGUGCAGGGUGAUAGAUUGGGUGAAUUGAUGGCAUCCCUUUCUCUGCCAAGUCAGUCCGCUCUCUAAAAAUCCCUUUUGGGAAGACUGGAGGAUUUCACUUUGUUGGAGAAUAUAACUGGUGUGGCUUGAAAAAGGGGGAAAGCAGAGAGGAAUACGGGACUCGUACAGUGCUAUCUCUAUUGUUUGAAAUUUACUUUAUAUCAGAAAUUGAAGAUGAAAACGGUGGUCGCUGAUCUGGUGGUUUACAUUACAACAUACACAGCAGCACUUUGGUUGUUCCUGCUUUGGUUUUUGAUUAAUAAGUGGGUUGCAAAGCCCCCUCUUUCCCUUUGUGUUUACUUUUCUUGCAUUUUCUCCUCCCCCACACAUUUCUUUUCAACAAGCCCGCUAACUCCCAGGGGCAAAUCUCUCUCUAAUCCUCGGGCUUUUGAAGCAGGGCAAUGCUUUUCAUGGCUAGCCCAAUACCUGUAAUUGAAUUUGUUUUUGUUUUAUUCCCACCCCCUCCUUGUCCUCUUUUGCCCCUCCCGCCGCAUUUCCUUAGCAACCAAUCAUACUACCAGUGAGCACUGACUGCUCCUGUCCUUUCAAGACACAGCUCUGUCCCAAGUCUUACCCGUCUCUGUGACUUGCGUGUGAGAAGUAGCGAACGGGAGUGAGCGGAAGGAAGGGGGAGGGGUUGCACCUUGAAUAGUAUAGAACACGACCGUAGACCAAAC